rnacentral:tmRNA from 1 species
GGGGAUGCCGGGCUUUGACAAGAAGACACCUUUUACAAUAUGCAAACCGAGGUCGUCGCCUGCUCGCAAAUCGGCGGCAAUUCAAUAAGUGCAAACUUAUUCUCAAAGGUAAAGAGCGCUAUCGCGAUGAGCUUUAUGCCUCUUUCUUUCGCAAGAGUCUAAUACCUUUUGCCAUCGGACCCGUUCACGCCUGAUAGGCGGAAUCCGGUGUGAUAUUUUCAGGCUGCCCCGCGCCACCGCCGCAGCGGCCGGGUAAGCAAAAGCGGCUGAGGGUUCCGGUAUUUUGAUCAUUUCAGAUCCGGGGCUCGAAAAACAAGAAAUGAUCUAUGUUUGUAGAUAUAUUGCGGAAGACUUUUUGGACGCGAGUUCGACUCUCGCCAUCUCCACUG